rnacentral:rRNA from 1 species
CCCUUAGAUGUCCGGGGCUGCACGCGCGCUACACUGUAGAAAGCAGCGUGCUUUAAAACCUUUCCUGAAAAGGAUGGGUAACCCCAGCAAAAUUCUACGUGCUUGGGAUAGAGAUUUGCAAUUUUCUCUCUUGAACGAGGAAUUCCCAGUAAGUGCGAGUCAUCAGCUCGCGUUGAUUACGUCCCUGCCCUUUGUACACACCGCCCGUCGCUACUACCGAUUGGGAAAAUUUUAGAGAGUCCGGGACUGAUGAUUGUUCGGCUUCACGGCCUUACUUUCGUCGGGAAAGAAUUCGAUAAUAUUUUUCUAGAGGAAGUAAAAGUCGUAACA